ACUUUCUGUCUCUUUGCAGUAGUAUUUUGCCGUUGAGUAAGUGUCCCCAGCUCCAGUGCUGCAGGCACAUUGUUCCAGGGCCUCUGUGGUGCUCCUGAUGCCCCUCACCCACUGUCGAAGAUCCCCGGUGGGCGAGGGGGCGGCAGGGAUCCUUCUCUCUCAGCUCUAAUAUAUAAGGACGAGAAGCUCACUGUAACCCAGGACCUCCCUGUGAACGAUGGAAAACCUCACAUCGUCCACUUCCAGUAUGAGGUCACCGAGGUGAAGGUCUCUUCCUGGGAUGCAGUCCUGUCCAGCCAGAGCCUGUUUGUAGAAAUCCCAGAUGGAUUAUUAGCUGAUGGGAGCAAAGAAGGCUCCACUCCUGAAGACGUUCAGCUUCUUGGGCUUUGAGAUUGUGCGUCCAGGUCAUCCCUGUGUCCCCUCUCGGCCAGAUGUGAUGUUUAUGGUUUACCCCCUGGACCAGAACUUGUCUGAUGAGGACUAAUGGUCACAGAGGAUGCUUUGCCUAAGAGCCACAGUGGGGGAAGAGGGGAAGUUAGGCAGCCUUGGGACAGAGGAGAGGGUCUCUGGCUGUCUAGGGAAGGACAUUGAGGGGCUCAGGUUGAGGGUUGCCCAUUGUGUUCUCGGAGUUGACUCGUUGAAAUUGUUUUCCAUAAAGAACAGUAUAAGCAUAUUAUUCACAUGUAAUCACCAAUAGUAAAUGAAGAUGUUUAUGAACUGGCAUUAGAAGCUUUUUAAACUGCGCUGUGAUGUGCUCCAUCUACCCUAGGGGAGGACAUUGCCUGCAGGGGCGGGACUGCCGGGCCCAGGACAGGCCUGGAGGGCUGGUGGGCAGGACUGUCAGGCUCAGGUCUCCUUGGAGUUGGGCUUUCUUCUUUUGGUUUUGAAGACUUAGGUAUUUUCUUUCUUUGCUUCUUGUCAUCUAGGGGCUCCUGAGUAUAGGCUUUAGCUCCUGGGCAGUGUCCUUGGGUUGUCUUCAACACUCCACCUUGAGCUUCUGGCAUUUUGUGUCUGGCCUGGUGUAAGCAGGUCUGACCUUGCUUUCUUUACAGCUUAGUGUUAUUCUGGCAUUUGGUUAAGCUGGCUUAAUCUGUUUAAUGUUACCAGUGCAUUUUAAAUAGGGGCAUUGAAACUCACUCCCCCACACCAGGGCUUUUUGGGGGGUGCCUGGGCCUUAAGAAACUAGCCAAACUACAUCUCAAGUUACCACCAGAGCUCUUGCCUCUGUGGCCUAGGCCCCAGGAUCUCUUUCCUUGCAAGAGCAGAGAGGAAGAAUACCAAACUCAGGGCCUGGGGUUUGUGGGGGAGCCUGUUCUUAGCGCCUGGAUGCCUCUGGCUGGCCAAGCACAGUACUGCCUGCCUCCUUAACAGGUUCAGAACAGUGCCUGCGCUGCAGAGCUGAGAGGUAGGGCUGGACUGCAGAAAUGGCCUGCCUUUUACUGCUUUCACCAAACAGCUUGUUCUAAAGAGAAAAGGGAGAGAGAUCUACAUUGGGUGUGGGGGUGUCAGGGAGACAAGUGUGUUGUGUUACUGUGUCAAUAAACUGAUUUAAAG
rnacentral:lncRNA from 1 species